CCUCUCUUAAUGGCAAAAUGGAGGUCAUGUUCUCAUGUUCCUAUUUGAAAUAAUGGUUAGUAUUUUUCAUAGCGAUUGCUUAUAACUUGUUGCCAGAUUCUUUUAAAAAAUGCAGAUAGAAAAAUUGGAGCUAAAAUAUUUCAAUUUAUUUGAUUUUAGUCCUCAUAUAUACAAAACCACAUUUUAAUUGGUAUCCUCAAUAUUUCUUUCAUAAGCCUUUGAUUAAAGUUGGUAAUAAGCUUCAAGAAAUAUUUAAUUAACUUGUAUUGACCACAUGUAUUAAAUUCACCUUCUUUCUAAAAUCUCUCCAGAUAGAUAGUAUUCAAGUAUAAAAACCCAAGCAAAGAGGAAAGAAAAAAAAAACGUAGACGUGUUUUUCAGUAGAUUGUUGAA